rnacentral:rRNA from 1 species
AAAUUGAAGAGUUUGAUCAUGGCUCAGAUUGAACGCUGGCGGCAGGCCUAACACAUGCAAGUCGAGCGGUAGCACAGAAGAGCUUGCUCUUUGGGUGACGAGCGGCGGACGGGUGAGUAAUGUCUGGGAAACUGCCUGAUGGAGGGGGAUAACUACUGGAAACGGUAGCUAAUACCGCAUAACCUCGCAAGAGCAAAGAGGGGGACCUUCGGGCCUCUCGCCAUCAGAUGUGCCCAGAUGGGAUUAGCUAGUAGGUGAGGUAAUGGCUCACCUAGGCGACGAUCCCUAGCUGGUCUGAGAGGAUGACCAGCCACACUGGAACUGAGACACGGUCCAGACUCCUACGGGAGGCAGCAGUGGGGAAUAUUGCACAAUGGGCGCAAGCCUGAUGCAGCCAUGCCGCGUGUGUGAAGAAGGCCUUCGGGUUGUAAAGCACUUUCAGCGGGGAGGAAGGCAGUAAGGUUAAUAACCUUAUUGAUUGACGUUACCCGCAGAAGAAGCACCGGCUAACUCCGUGCCAGCAGCCGCGGUAAUACGGAGGGUGCAAGCGUUAAUCGGAAUGACUGGGCGUAAAGCGCACGCAGGCGGUCUGUUAAGUUGGAUGUGAAAUCCCCGGGCUUAACCUGGGAACUGCAUUCAAAACUGACAGGCUAGAGUCUUGUAGAGGGGGGUAGAAUUCCAGGUGUAGCGGUGAAAUGCGUAGAGAUCUGGAGGAAUACCGGUGGCGAAGGCGGCCCCCUGGACAAAGACUGACGCUCAGGUGCGAAAGCGUGGGGAGCAAACAGGAUUAGAUACCCUGGUAGUCCACGCUGUAAACGAUGUCGAUUUGGAGGUUGUGCCCUUGAGGCGUGGCUUCCGGAGCUAACGCGUUAAAUCGACCGCCUGGGGAGUACGGCCGCAAGGUUAAAACUCAAAUGAAUUGACGGGGGCCCGCACAAGCGGUGGAGCAUGUGGUUUAAUUCGAUGCAACGCGAAGAACCUUACCUACUCUUGACAUCCAGAGAAUUUGCUAGAGAUAGCUUAGUGCCUUCGGGAACUCUGAGACAGGUGCUGCAUGGCUGUCGUCAGCUCGUGUUGUGAAAUGUUGGGUUAAGUCCCGCAACGAGCGCAACCCUUAUCCUUUGUUGCCAGCGAUUCGGUCGGGAACUCAAAGGAGACUGCCGGUGAUAAACCGGAGGAAGGUGGGGAUGACGUCAAGUCAUCAUGGCCCUUACGAGUAGGGCUACACACGUGCUACAAUGGCGUAUACAAAGAGAAGCGACCUCGCGAGAGCAAGCGGACCUCAUAAAGUACGUCGUAGUCCGGAUUGGAGUCUGCAACUCGACUCCAUGAAGUCGGAAUCGCUAGUAAUCGUAGAUCAGAAUGCUACGGUGAAUACGUUCCCGGGCCUUGUACACACCGCCCGUCACACCAUGGGAGUGGGUUGCAAAAGAAGUAGGUAGCUUAACCUUCGGGAGGGCGCUUACCACUUUGUGAUUCAUGACUGGGGUGAAGUCGUAACAAGGUAACCGUAGGGGAACCUGCGGUUGGAUCACCUCCUUA